CAUGAGGCAGGGGCGGGCAGGGGUGGCAUGGGGGCACACACCCAAGGUCAGCCUGUGUCUCCCAACCACAGUCGGUCCUGACCGCCAGCCUGUCGUACAUGGUGGGGAUGAUCGCCAGCUUCUACAACACCGAGGCAGUCAUCAUGGCCGUGGGCAUCACCACAGCCGUCUGCUUCACCGUCGUCAUCUUCUCCAUGCAGACCCGCUACGACUUCACCUCAUGCAUGGGCGUGCUCCUGGUGAGCAUGGUGGUGCUCUUCAUCUUCGCCAUUCUCUGCAUCUUCAUCCGGAACCGCAUCCUGGAGAUCGUGUACGCCUCACUGGGCGCUCUGCUCUUCACCUGCUUCCUCGCAGUGGACACCCAGCUGCUGCUGGGGAACAAGCAGCUGUCCCUGAGCCCAGAAGAGUAUGUGUUUGCUGCGCUGAACCUGUACACAGACAUCAUCAACAUCUUCCUGUACAUCCUCACCAUCAUUGGCCGCGCCAAGGAGUAGCCGAGCUCCAGCUCGCUGUGCCCGCUCAGGUGGCACGGCUGGCCUGGACCCUGCCCCUGGCACGGCAGUGCCAGCUGUACUUCCCCUCUCUCUUGUCCCCAGGCACAGCCUGGGGAAAAGGAUGCCUCUCUCC
rnacentral:sRNA from 1 species